rnacentral:rRNA from 1 species
UGUAAACGAUGUCGAUUUGGAGGUUGUUCCCUUGAGGAGUGGCUUCCGGAGCUAACGCGUUAAAUCGACCGCUGGGGAGUACGGCCGCAAGGUUAAAACUCAAAUGAAUUGACGGGGGCCCGCACAGCGGUGGAGCAUGUGGUUUAAUUCGAUGCAACGCGAAGAACCUUACCUACUCUUGACAUCCAGAGAAUUUAGCAGAGAUGCUUUAGUGCCUUCGGGAACUCUGAGACAGGUGCUGCAUGGCUGUCGUCAGCUCGUGUUGUGAAAUGUUGGGUUAAGUCCCGCAACGAGCGCAACCCUUAUCCUUUGUUGCCAGCACAUUAUGGUGGGAACUCAAAGGAGACUGCCGGUGAUAAACCGGAGGAAGGUGGGGAUGACGUCAAGUCAUCAUGGCCCUUACGAGUAGGGCUACACACGUGCUACAAUGGCGUAUACAAAGAGAAGCGACCUCGCGAGAGCAAGCGGAACUCAUAAAGUACGUCGUAGUCCGGAUUGGAGUCUGCAACUCGACUCCAUGAAGUCGGAAUCGCUAGUAAUCGUAGAUCAGAAUGCUACGGUGAAUACGUUCCCGGGCCUUGUACACACCGCCCGUCACACCAUGGGAGUGGGUUGCAAAAGAAGUAGGUAGCUUAACCUUCGGGAGGGCGCUUACCACUUUGUGAUUCAUGACUGGGGUGAAGUCGUAACAAGGUAACCA